rnacentral:rRNA from 1 species
UGGGGAAUUUUGGACAAUGGGCGAAAGCCUGAUCCAGCAAUGCCGCGUGUGUGAAGAAGGCCUUCGGGUUGUAAAGCACUUUUGUCCGGAAAGAAAUCCUUGGCUCUAAUACAGUCGGGGGAUGACGGUACCGGAAGAAUAAGCACCGGCUAACUACGUGCCAGCAGCCGCGGUAAUACGUAGGGUGCAAGCGUUAAUCGGAAUUACUGGGCGUAAAGCGUGCGCAGGCGGUUUGCUAAGACCGAUGUGAAAUCCCCGGGCUCAACCUGGGAACUGCAUUGGUGACUGGGCAGGCUAGAGUAUGGCAGAGGGGGGUAGAAUUCCACGUGUAGCAGUGAAAUGCGUAGAGAUGUGGAGGAAUACCGAUGGCGAAGGCAGCCCCCUGGGCCAAUACUGACGCUCAUGCACGAAAGCGUGGGGAGCAAAACAGGAUUAGAUACCCUGGUAGUCCACGCCCUAAACGAUGUCAACUAGUUGUUGGGGAUUCAUUUCCUUAGUAACGUAGCUAACGCGUGAAGUUGACCGCCUGGGGAGUACGGUCGCAAGAUUAAAACUCAAAGGAAUUGAC